GCGCCCAUAGCUCAGCUGGAUAGAGCAGCAGUUUCCUAAACUGCGUGUCGGAUGUUCGAGUCAUCUUGGGCGCA
rfam:Megasphaera elsdenii strain DSM 20460 draft genome